GGGGUUUUGGAAAGGGAGGAGAGACAAGCUACUGCUAUCGAGUGGACACUUGAGUAACACGCUGUAACUUUCAUGGUUGACGACCAGUUACCUUCCAAGAGGAUAAGGAGACGGACAUCUUGCCGGUGUGAUAGAGGCAAAGCUCAUGUGGUCCCUUCCACUAGUGUGAACUGUGGAUUUUGUGUGACCUGGUCUUGUCCCUUUCAACUAUCAGCCCCACUACUUUGGAAAAUGUGCCUAUUCUAGCACACCAGAGCAACACCUGUGGUAGUGGUAUCACUGGAACCUGUGAUGUAACUUUAUGAUCCAUAAUAAAUGCCUUUUGAAGCAAACGUGUGAAGUGUUCUUCAGCUCUGUGGCUAAGCCAGCAUGAGGCAGAGACACACUGUGCAGGUUUCAUCCCUUAGCUUAGAGUCUGAUCCCAAGCUUAUACUGUAGUGAGUGGCAGCCACCACCAUUCAGAAGCUCACCCCUUGGGGCAUAAUGCAUGAAAAAAAGCAAGCUUAGGGGCACAUCAAUUCCACAGGCUUAACUGAACGCCUGGUGUGGUGUGCAUGAGUGUGUGUUUGUGUGGCGCUUUUAUAAGAUGAAUUUUCAUACAGUGCUCUUGUUUCUUAACAGAGAACAGCACUGACAUUGGUGUGUGUUUUUGUCCGUCUGUUCCUCUGCCUGCGUGUGUGUGUGUCCAAGUGGGAGUGGGUAUGGGGGCUCGCAUGUUAAAUGCUGUCAUAAUGAGCGUAUUGAAUCAAAUGCCAGAUAAAGGCAGAGGGAUUUAGGGGAUUCAAGCCUUUAUUAAACGUUCAUAUUGUUUCCCAACAUCUGACAACUGAGACAAAGUGGUAAAUACAAAUGGAUUUUUAUAUCCCCAAAUAAAUACCACAGUCAUGAAUAAACGUGAUAAUGAUAUCA